rnacentral:rRNA from 1 species
CCCUUAGAUGUUCUGGGCCGCACGCGUGCUACACUGAGUGGAUCAGCGGGUCAGGUUGCGCGAAAGCGUUUCCUAAUCUUUAAAUCCGCUCGUGCUGGGGAUUGACGGUUGCAAUUUUCUGUCAUGAACGAGGAAUACCUUGUAAGCGCGGGUCAUCAUCCCGCGCUGAAUACGUCCCUGCCCUUUGUACACACCGCCCGUCGCUCCUACCGAUUGAGUGGUCCGGUGAGGCUUUGGGAUCUGAGCGGAAAGAGCGUUUCGCUGUUUCUGCCCGGAAAACUCAGUCGAACCUUAUCAUUUAGAGGAAGGAGAAGUCGUAACA